CGCGUCCUAUUAGCUAGUUGGUGAGGUAACGGCUCACCAAGGCCUCGAUAGGUAGCCGGCCUGAGAGGGUGAACGGCCACACUGGAACUGAGACACGGUCCAGACUCCUACGGGAGGCAGCAGUGGGGAAUAUUGCACAAUGGAGGAAACUCUGAUGCAGCGACGCCGCGUGAAUGAUGAAGGCCUUCGGGUUGUAAAGUUCUGUCCUUGGGGAAGAUAAUGACGGUACCCAAGGAGGAAGCCCCGGCUAACUACGUGCCAGCAGCCGCGGUAAUACGUAGGGGGCGAGCGUUGUCCGGAAUUAUUGGGCGUAAAGGGUUCGCAGGCGGUCUGAUAAGUCAGAUGUGAAAGGCGUAGGCUUAACCUAUGUAAGCAUUUGAAACUGUCAGACUUGAGUUAAGGAGAGGAAAGUGGAAUUCCUAGUGUAGCGGUGAAAUGCGUAGAUAUUAGGAGGAAUACCAGUGGCGAAGGCGACUUUCUGGACUUAUACUGACGCUGAGGAACGAAAGCGUGGGGAGCAAACAGGAUUAGAUACCCUGGUAGUCCACGCCGUAAACGAUGAGUGCUAGGUGUUGGGGGUCAAACCUCGGUGCCGCAGCUAACGCAUUUAGCACUCCGCCUGGGGGAGUACGUACGCAAGUAUGAAACUCAAAGGAAUUGAUGGGGACCCGCACAGCAGCGGAGCAUGUGGUUUAAUUUCGAAGCAACGCGAAGAACCUUUACCAAGGUCUGACAUGCCACUGACCGGUCUAGAGAUAAAUCUUUUAUCCCUUCGGGGUAACAGUGAAUACAGGUGGUGCAUGGUUGUCGUCA
rnacentral:rRNA from 1 species